rnacentral:rRNA from 1 species
CGUAGGGUCCAAGCGUUAUCCGGAAUCACUGGGCGUAAAGCGUGCGUAGGUGGCGCGUUAAGUGUGAUGUUAAAACGUGGGGCUCAACCCUGUCGGUGCAUCACAUACUGGCGUGCUAGAGGACAGCAGAGGCAAGUGGAAUUUGUAGUGUAGCAGAGAAAUGCGUAGAUAUUACAAGGAACACCAAUGGCGAAGGCAGCUUGCUGGGCUACUCCUGACACUGAGGUACGAAAGCGUGGGGAGCGAACAGGAUUAGAUACCCUGGUAGUCCACGCCGUAAACGAUGCAUACUAGACGUAUGGGGUAUCGACCCCCUGUGCGUCGAAGCUAACGCGAUAAGUAUGCCGCCUGGGAAGUACGGCCGCAAGGCUA